UGGGAAGCGAGAGCCUCCCCGGUAUAAACUGCCAGCUCUAAGCAGCCCUGACAGCUCUGCUCCUUCCCAAACCUGGCAGCCGUUCAAAGUGCUCUUUCAUUCGGGAUGCUGGAAGCCUGCCAUGUGCAAUGCAGAUUUCGCUGUGCCUGUGCGCAGAAGGAACUGAUAAAUGCCGUUGCGGUUGCCAUGGGGACGGGAGGCUAUCAGAAUGGCCUUGUGAUCCGCAGCCUCCUCGCGGCGCGGCAGGCUCUCGCUCCGCGCUCCCGCCCCGCCUCCCGCGAGUCGAGCUUUUCAGCAAGUCCAAGUCUUUUGAGUCAUCACAACCCGGAUGUAAACACACCAGUCCUGCCUUCUGCACAGCUACCAUGGAUGCUAGGGAAAAGGGACGGAAUCUCAAGAGCCAGGAAAUGAAGAGGCCAGGAUAAAACAGCGUGGAGCUCAGCAGCUGCUGCCGGCUGUUCUCGAACCAGAUAGUGAGUCUCAUGACCACAGCUGCCUCUGUGUCAGUUUGUGCAUGAAGCACCCCAGUCUCCAGGAGAUGGGCGGAGAACAGCUGGGUGCUAGGCUCCGAACUUCGUUCUCAAGUUAACAGCACUUGUAAUUUCUGCCUAAAGAACACUUGGAAAUUU
ensembl:lncRNA